UUGCUGUGAUGAAUGCUGUAACUUAUUGAAAUUUAGAAAAGCUUGAUGAAAUUUCGACAAUCAUGUCGAUCCUGAGCGGUUACCUGAGCAA